ACGGGUGAGUAACGCGUAGGUAACCUGCCUGGUAGCGGGGGAUAACUAUUGGAAACGAUAGCUAAUACCGCAUAAUAUUGAUUAUUGCAUAAUAGUCAAUUAAAAGGUGCAACUGCACCACUACCAGAUGGACCUGCGUUGUAUUAGCUAGUUGGUGGGGUAACGGCUCACCAAGGCGACGAUACAUAGCCGACCUGAGAGGGUGAUCGGCCACACUGGGACUGAGAUACGGCCCAGACUCCUACGGGAGGCAGCAGUGGGGAAUAUUGCACAAUGGGCGAAAGCCUGAUGCAGCGACGCCGCGUGAGGGAUGACGGCCUUCGGGUUGUAAACCUCUUUCGCUCAUGGUCAAGCCGCAACUGUGGUUGUGGUGAGGGUAGUGGGUAAAGAAGCGCCGGCUAACUACGUGCCAGCAGCCGCGGUAAUACGUAGGUCCCGAGCGUUGUCCGGAUUUAUUGGGCGUAAAGCGAGCGCAGGCGGUUAGAUAAGUCUGAAGUUAAAGGCUGUGGCUUAACCAUAGUACGCUUUGGAAACUGUUUAACUUGAGUGCAAGAGGGGAGAGUGGAAUUCCAUGUGUAGCGGUGAAAUGCGUAGAUAUAUGGAGGAACACCGGUGGCGAAAGCGGCUCUCUGGCUUGUAACUGACGCUGAGGCUCGAAAGCGUGGGGAGCAAACAGGAUUAGAUACCCU
rnacentral:rRNA from 1 species